rnacentral:rRNA from 1 species
UAGCGGCGAGUGAGCGGCAAGAGCUCAGAUUUGAAAUCGUGCUAAUUUUUUUGGCACGAGUUGUAGAGUGUAGGCGGGAGUCUUUGUGGAGCACGGUGUCCAAGUCCCUUGGAACAGGGCGCCUGAGAGGGUGAGAGCCCCGUGGGGUGCCGUGCGAAGCUCUGAGGCCCUGCUGACGAGUCGAGUUGUUUGGGAAUGCAGCUCCAAGUGGGUGGUAAAUUCCAUCUAAGGCUAAAUACUGGCGAGAGACCGAUAGCGAACAAGUACUGUGAAGGAAAGAUGAAAAGCACUUUGAAAAGAGAGUGAAACAGCACGUGAAAUUGUUGAAAGGGAAGGGUAUUGGGCCCGACAUGGGGAGUGCGCACCGCUGUCUCUUGUAGGCGGCGCUCUGGGCGCUCUCUGGGCCAGCAUCGGUUCUUGCUGCGGGAGAAUGGGUGCCGGAAAGUGGCUCUUCGGAGUGUUAUAGCCGGCGCCAGAUACCGCGUGCGGGGACCGAGGACUGCGGCUUCUGUCUCGGAUGCUGGCACAACGGCGCAAUACCGCCCGUCUUGA